rnacentral:rRNA from 1 species
CCUACGGGAGGCAGCAGUAAGGAAUAUUGGACAAUGGGCGCAAGCCUGAUCCAGCCAUGCCGCGUGAAGGAUUAAGGUCCUCUGGAUUGUAAACUUCUUUUAUAGGGGACGAAAAAGGGCAUUCUUGCUCACUUGACGGUACCCUAUGAAUAAGCACCGGCUAACUCCGUGCCAGCAGCCGCGGUAAUACGGAGGGUGCAAGCGUUAUCCGGAUUCACUGGGUUUAAAGGGUGCGUAGGCGGGCAGGUAAGUCAGUGGUGAAAUCCUAGAGCUCAACUCUAGAACUGCCAUUGAUACUAUCUGUCUUGAAUAUUGUGGAGGUAAGCGGAAUAUGUCAUGUAGCGGUGAAAUGCUUAGAUAUGACAUAGAACACCUAUUGCGAAGGCAGCUUACUACGCAUAUAUUGACGCUGAGGCACGAAAGCGUGGGGAUCAAACAGGAUUAGAUACCCUGGUAGUCCACGCCCUAAACGAUGGAUACUCGACAUACGCGAUACACUGUGUGUGUCUGAGCGAAAGCAUUAAGAUCCCACCUGGGAAGUACGUCCGCAAGGAUGAAACUCAAAGGAAUUGACGGNNGAGAGNGCGAGCGACGACGAGGGAGAGG